rnacentral:tRNA from 1 species
UCUCUUGUGGCUCAGCUGGUAAAGAAUCCGCCUGCAAUGCGGAAAAUCUGGGUUCGAUCCCUGGGUAGGGAA